CAGCUCAAGGCUCUGGGGAGGGUCUGCUGAGACGUGUCCCACCCUGAUUUCCAGACUCCCCAGUUCUGGGUCCCACCCCAGAAACCCUCAUUUACCCGUGGGCUGAUUGGUUGUUGAAUAAACACGUUUA